GGGAUUGUGACUCAGUGGUAGAGAGCUUGCUUAGCAUGCAUGAGGCCCUGGGUUCAAACCUCAGCAUCACA
rfam:Ictidomys tridecemlineatus contig067236, whole genome shotgun sequence.